UACGUAGGGGGCAAGCGUUGUCCGGAUUUAUUGGGCGUAAAGAGCGUGUAGGCGGCUUUACAGGUCCGUUGUGAAAACUCGAGGCUCAACCUCGAGACGUCGGCGGAAACCAUCUGGCUAGAGUCCGGAAGAGGAGAGUGGAAUUCCUGGUGUAGCGGUGAAAUGCGCAGAUAUCAGGAAGAACACCCGUGGCGAAGGCGGCUCUCUGGGACGGUACUGACGCUGAGACGCGAAAGCGUGGGGAGCGAACAGG
rnacentral:rRNA from 1 species